AGUGAACGCUGGCGGUAGGCCUAACACAUGCAAGUCGAACGGCAGCACAGUAAGAGCUUGCUCUUACGGGUGGCGAGUGGCGGACGGGUGAGGAAUACAUCGGAAUCUACUUUUUCGUGGGGGAUAACGUAGGGAAACUUACGCUAAUACCGCAUACGACCUACGGGUGAAAGCAGGGGAUCUUCGGACCUUGCGCGAUUGAAUGAGCCGAUGUCGGAUUAGCUAGUUGGCGGGGUAAAGGCCCACCAAGGCGACGAUCCGUAGCUGGUCUGAGAGGAUGAUCAGCCACACUGGAACUGAGACACGGUCCAGACUCCUACGGGAGGGAGCAGUGGGGAAUGUUGGACAAUGGGCGCAAGCCUGAUCCAGCCAUACCGCGUGGGUGAAGAAGACCUUCGGGUUGUGAAGCCCUUUUGUUGGGAAAGAAAAGCAGCAGGUUGAUACCCCGCUGUUCUGACGGUACCCAAAGAAUAAGCACCGGCUAACUUCGUG
rnacentral:rRNA from 1 species